ensembl:lncRNA NSUN5P1 NSUN5 pseudogene 1
GUAAAGGCGCGCGGGAACAUGGGGCUGUACGCUGCGGUGGCAGGCGUGCUGGCCGGCGUGGAGAGCCGCCAGGGCUCUAUCAAGGGGCUGGUGUACUCCAGCAACUUCCAGCCUUGAUGACUUACAAGCCCUCAAGGGGAAGCAUUUUCUCCUGGACUCCUUGAUGCCGGAGCUGCUGGUGUUUCCCGCCCAGACAGAUCUGCAUGAACACCCACUGUACCGGGCCGGACACCUCAUUCUGCAGGACAGGGCCAGCUGUCUCCCAGCCAUGCUGCUGGACCCCUGCCAGGCUCCCAUGUCAUCGAUGCCUGUGCCGCCCCAGGCAAUAAGACCAGUCACUUGGCUGCUCUUCUGAAGAACCAAGGGAAGAUCUUUGCCUUUGACCUGGAUGCCAAGCGGCUGGCAUCCAUGGCCACGCUGCUGGCCUGGGUUGGCGUCUCCUGCUGUGAGCUGGCUGAGGAGGACUUCCUGGCGGUCUCCCCCUUAGAUCCGCGCUAUCGUGAGGUCCACUAUGUCCUGCUGGAUCCUUCCUGCAGUGGCUCGGGUAUGCCGAGCAGACAGCUGGAGGAUCCCGGGGCAGGGACACCUAGCCCGGUGCGUCUGCAUGCCCUGGCAGGGUUCCAGCAGCGAGCCCUGUGCCACGCGCUCACUUUCCCUUCCCUGCAGCGGCUCGUCUACUCCAUGUGCUCCCUCUGCCAGGAGGAGAAUGAAGACAUGGUACCAGAUGCGCUGCAGCAGAACCCGGGCGCCUUCAGGCUAGCUCCCGCCCUGCCUGCCCGGCCCCACCGAGGCCUGAGCACGUUCCCGGGUGCCGAGCACUGCCUCCGGGCUUCCCCCAAGACCACGCUUAGCGGUGGCUUCUUCGUUGCUGUAAUUGAACGGGUCGAGAUGCCGAUGUGAGUGAGUGGGGGCAUGCUUGGGAGGCGCAGGAUGGUACUGGCACAUCUAACAUCUACACUUCUCUAGCUCAGCCUCACAGGCCAAAGCAUCAGCACCAGAACGCACACCCAGCCCAGCCCCAAAGAGAAAGAAGAGACAGCAAAGAGCCGCAGCCGGUGCUUGCACACCGCCUUGCACAUAGCAGAGGCUCCAGGCUGACUCCUUCCUGGUGGGAAAGGAAGAUGCCUGUCCUCUCCGUGGAGGACCCUGGGCCCUCACCGCAGGCAGCAGUUUGCAUUUUGAAAGGUUAUUGGGUCCCUUCCUCGGGCUGUGUUCUUGCUGGUGAGCAAAAGUGUUGCCUGCAGAAAUAAAAUGCAGAACGUACUCUACGAUA